CCAACCCAGCUGGGGACAGCUGCCAGUGGGGAGCCAUGCAGGGGUUUCCCCCAGCUUGCCUGGUGCUUGGAAAUCCCCAGCUUCUGCAAAAUGGACACAGCGUGGCUUCCAGGAAUGUAUUUUGGCUUGCCCCUCAGCUGGCUCUGCUGUCCCCUAGCUCUGUCCCUCUCCUUGCCCUGUCUCCCUGUCAUACUACCAGCAAAGCUCCUUGCAAACCACAGCCUGAGCCAAAGGCGCCAGAAAAAGUUUUUCCUGAGUCACCUGAGAUCCCUUCAAGCAGAAAAGCAAAGCCCCAUGCCUCUCCAGGAUAGAGAGGUGUCCAACCACCCCCACAACAAGCGACUGCUCCAGUUCAGCCCACAGGGUGUUUAUUCCACUGUCACAGCUGUAAACCCAAACACCAGGAGCUCCAGGCCUGCAAGCUCGGGGAAGAAGACAGAGGAGCCUCCCUGGGGAUUCACACCCUGGCAGCCGAGCUGAGACGCAACAGAGGAAGGGGCAGAGCCGCCUGCACGCAUCCGUGCCCCGGCUAGCGGAAGGAUCGCUCUCUCCCAAGCUCACCCCGACCAGGUCUUGCCCAAACCAGGCUUAAAACCACCCUAGGAACAUUCCUGGGGAUGCAGCCCUGAGUUUUUCCACCCCCAGCACUCACCUCAUUCCCAGCACUCCCAGCUUCCAGCCCUAAGUCCCUCCGCUGCACUUUCCGUCUCCUUACUGGAGAAAAAUAAAAUAAAAAGAAACAACGACGAAACACACACA